GGGGGUGUAGCUCAGCCCGGUAGAGCGCUGCCUUCGCACGGCAGAGGUCAGGGGUUCGAAUCCCCUCACCUCCACCA
rnacentral:tRNA from 1 species